GAAAAGGAGAAACUGGUAGGCCAAAGGGCUUUAAACUAGGAAAGGGAGAGGGCAGGGGGAGGAAGGGGGAAAUUGGAGUGGCCAGAAAAUUGCAAAGGUCAGUGAUGCAAUCUUGCAACAGCCUGUCACAAUCAUUCAAGCUAAGCCCCACAGGGAGGGAUAGGAGGAAGAGCUGUUUCUGGGAUCAAAAAUUUGAGUCUCUGAAAAAUUUAACAGUAAUCUUUCUUGGGGGAGGGGAUAAGGCAGUUUCCCCAGACAAUUUAGUUAAAAAUAACUACUUUUUGCCUGGGCUAUUCAUAGUUCAGGAGAUAUAUUGGUUUGUGCAGAUUGGUCAAGGUUACCUAAAUAGCUAAUUUAACAUUAUACCUUUUUGUCUGUACACAGUGGUCAAGAUGACAAUGGUCCUAAUUGGGAUUAUUUCUGGGAAGAUUGUAUCCCCUGCUUAUUAUCCUUUUAACCUUGUCAGGCAGGAAAAUUCUAGAACAAGGAGAGAUUGAUAUCAUUCUUGGCAUUUUCUUUGAAUCUCUAAUAACUGGCAGAAAUGAUCUGUAGGCUUUCCCAAGAUCUGUGAGUGUCACAAACAUGGUGGCUUUUGGGAGAACAUGUUACGUGCAUCUUAAUAUCAGGGCCUUUACCUGGUUUCUGCUCUGAAGGUGAGUCAGCCCAGCGAUGAACCCAAAACUCCGAAAUUAACGUGUCAGUAUUUCCGGUGUUUCUGUAACUCGAAGGACGCAAACCACAUGUCCUUCAAGGUCAGCAGACUGUAAUUUAUCUGGGGUUCCCCUUUCUUGUGAUUUCUGGUGGCAAGGCACAUCGGCACCUCACAUGAGUUCUUUUCCUCUUUGAUAAUCUGACUUCAACCCCCAGACCUCACCAGCUUGCUGGCCAGGGCUGGGCAGAGAGGCAUGCUUUGGGGUUGCCUGUGGAGUUGGUGUUCUGGUUUAGGUGUUAGCUGGGGCUGAGAGAGAGAGAUGAAGGGAAUAGAAGGCCGAGGAAUCCACGAUCACCCCCUAGCUAGGAAUUGCUGACACAGCUCCUCUGUCUGGGUGGGGAAAGAGAACCCAGCUUCUAGGGUGGGGGAUUAGAUAGGGCUUAGGAAACUAAACCCAUGCGUUAAAGCACUGAUGUCACUUUAGAGGUGGAAAGUCUUGUGUUGCAACACGCAGGUCAGUCACAGGUUAUUGCUGUGAAGGUCUGAGCAGCCUUGGUGACCAACUGUCCCUCUCUGCUCAGGACUGAGGGGUUUCCCCAAGAUGCAUGACGUACAGUGCUGAAACUGGGGCUGUUCCGGGCUGUCAGGAACAGCUGGUCACCCUACCCUUGAGUCUACCCCAAUAUUUAAUUCUUGACAUUUCUAGGAAGACAAAGAAGGCUAGUUUAAACUUUAUUUUGCUUUCCAAAUCCCUUUCUUCCAAACAUUAAGGUACCCAGAGCCACCUGCAGAGAAAUCAAUAAAAAGGGGUGACGUGUAGUCCAAGGGGGAAGUAGGGAAGAGAGAGCUGUCCCUACAACUGUGCCUUGGAGACUGAAGGAGCAGGGGACAGAGGUCUUUUGGGUGGUUGGUUACGUAUGGACCUCAAUCAUUAGUAGCAUUAUUUUGUUAUCCCAUCAUCCCAUCACCCAAUGCCCUGCUUUAUUCUUCUCAGUAGCCCUUAGUACUGACUUUAUAUAGAUAUGAUUAUUGAUUUGCUUUUUGUAUUGUCUUCCAUAUCCUUUGGAAAAUGAGCUUCAUAAGGACCAGGACUUUAUUUAUUUCUUCCCUGGGUCUCCAGGGCCCAGUAUAUUUCUUGGUACAAAGUAGAUGCUUAAUAGGUAACUAUGGGAUUAAUGAAUGUCAUUCCCACUGGACUGUGAAGCCUGGUGUGUGGGGAACCAUGUUUUCUAAGUUUGCAUGCAGUAAGGUUUUUAGCGGACGUUCAAAGAAGCAUUCAGCCUUUUUUUUGGGGGGGGGGGUUUGCUGUUAGUCCUCUUCUCUCAAAUCCAUCUCAAAUACGACCACUGAAUAAAUCUUCCUAAAUUACAUUUUAUUCUUCAUUGCCUGUGUAAAGCCUGGGGUGAUUUCUCACCCACAUGAUGAAUUUCUGGAUUCUGCAUGUUGAAUUUCUUGGAAUCCAGGACUUCUAUGAUCUGAUCUUCUCUACUCAUCUAACUUUCUCCCCUGCUCAUCUCCAACAAGAACCCUUAGCUCCACAGUAAGGAAGUGAAUUAUUCUGCAACGACAUCAGCUUGAAGGAAGACCCCAAGAUCCAGAUGAGGAUGCAACUCACCGGACAACUUGAUUUAUUAGCUUCAUGAGACCCCGAGGCGCUGUGCCAGACGUCUGACUACAGAAGUGUUUUUCUUGGACUCGGAGCCAGCUUCACUUUCUCAGAUCAUUAUGCAUCUUCACGCAGAGCUUGCUGAGCCGUUUGGGGGUGACACUUUUAAAACUCGUCUGGGAGAAAAAAGUAUCGGUGAUCAACCAAGUGACCGAACAUUCGUCUGGGGACUGAAGGGUGUCCUGGGACAUGGAACUUUCAGAGCUUAAACGAGAGAGUCCUGGCAAACUAGAAUGGUUGCUCACCCCUGCACGAAACUGGAAUUGUCUCCUUGAAGAUUUGCCCUGACCCUGCAG